rnacentral:rRNA from 1 species
CGGGCCCGCAAGGGUGCCGGCGAGCGGCGGACGGGUGAGCAACACAUAGGAAUCUACCUUAGAGCGGGGGAUAGCCCGGGGAAACCCGGAUUAAUACCGCAUGAUGUCGAAAGACCAAAGUGGGGGACCGUAAGGCCUCACACUCUGAGAUGAGCCUAUGUCGGAUUAGCUAGUUGGCGGGGUAACGGCCCACCAAGGCGACGAUCCGUAGCUGGUCUGAGAGGACGAUCAGCCACACCGGAACUGAGACACGGUCCGGACUCCUACGGGAGGCAGCAGUGGGGAAUAUUGGACAAUGGGCGAAAGCCUGAUCCAGCGACGCCGCGUGGGUGAAGAAGGCCUUCGGGUUGUAAAGCCCUUUAAGCCGGGACGAAAAAGCUGAACCUAAUACGUUCGGCCUUGACGGUACCGGAAGAAUAAGCACCGGCUAACUCUGUGCCAGCAGCCGCGGUAAUACAGAGGGUGCAAGCGUUAAUCGGAUUUACUGGGCGUAAAGCGUGUGUAGGUGGCUCGCUAAGUCGGUUGUGAAAUCCCUGGGCUCAACCUGGGAAUUGCAGUCGAUACUGAUGAGCUCGAGUUCGGUAGAGGGUGACGGAAUUCCCGGUGUAGCGGUGAAAUGCGUAGAUAUCGGGAGGAACAUCGAUGGCGAAGGCAAUCACCUGGGCCUGAACUGACACUGUGACACGAAAGCGUGGGUAGCAAACAGGAUUAGAUACCCUGGUAGUCCACGCCGUAAACGAUGGGAACCUGACGUCGGUUUGCUCUGCGAAUCGGUGUCGUAGCUAACGCGCUAAGUUCCCCGCCUGGGGAGUAC